rnacentral:rRNA from 1 species
AUUGAACGCUGGCGGCAUGCCUUACACAUGCAAGUCGAACGGUAACAGGUUAAGCUGACGAGUGGCGAACGGGUGAGUAAUAUAUCGGAACGUGCCCAGUCGUGGGGGAUAACGUAGCGAAAGCUACGCUAAUACCGCAUACGAUCUACGGAUGAAAGCGGGGGAUCGCAAGACCUCGCGCGAUUGGAGCGGCCGAUAUCAGAUUAGGUUGUUGGUGAGGUAAAAGCUCACCAAGCCUGCGAUCUGUAGCUGGUCUGAGAGGACGACCAGCCACACUGGAACUGAGACACGGUCCAGACUCCUACGGGAGGCAGCAGUGGGGAAUUUUGGACAAUGGACGCAGGUCUGAUCCAGCAAUGCCGCGUGCAGGACGAAGGCCUUCGGGUUGUAAACUGCUUUUGUACGGAACGAAACGGUGAGCUCUAAUACAGUUUGCUAAUGACGGUACCGUAAGAAUAAGCACCGGCUAACUACGUGCCAGCAGCCGCAGUAA